rnacentral:rRNA from 1 species
UACGUGGGGGCCGAGCGUUGUCCGGAGUUACUGGGCGUAAAGGGCGCGCAGGCGGCGGCGUGGGUCAGGCGUGAAAGCCCCCGGCUCAACCGGGGAACGUCGUCGGGGACCGCGCCGCUUGAGGGCGGCAGGGGCCGGUGGAAUGCCUGGUGUAGUGGUGAAAUGCGUAGAGAUCAGGCGGAACACCCGUGGCGAAGGCGGCCGGCUGGGCCGUCCCUGACGCUGAGGCGCGAAGGCGUGGGGAGCGAACGGG